rnacentral:misc_RNA from 1 species
UCCCUGUUGCCAGGGCAGUCUAGCUAGAGAAAUUCAACUAACUAUAAGGGUUGCGCUCGUUGAUGGACUUAACCAAACAUCUCACGACACGAGCUGACGACGGCCAUGCAUCACCUGUCACUGCGGCCCGAAGGCACAGUCUCCUUUCGGAGUCUUUAGCAGGAUGUCAAGCCUGGGUAAGGUUCUUCGCUUACCAUCGAAUUAAACAACACGCUCCACCGCUUGUGCGGGUCCCCGUCAAUUCCUUUAUGUUUUAGUCUUGCGACCGUACUCCACAGGCGGGAUGCUUAACGCGUUAGCUGCGCUACUACAAGGGUCGAUACUCAUAACAGCUAGCAUCCAUCGUUUACGGCGUGGACUAC